ACGCACGCUGGCGGCAUGCCUAACACAUGCAAGUCGCACGAAGGCUUCGGCCUUAGUGGCGCACGGGUGCGUAACGCGUGGGAAUCUGCCCUUGGGUUCGGAAUAACAGCGGGAAACUGCUGCUAAUACCGGAUGAUGACGUAAGUCCAAAGAUUUAUCGCCCAAGGAUGAGCCCGCGUAGGAUUAGCUAGUUGGUGGGGUAAAGGCCCACCAAGGCGACGAUCCUUAGCUGGUCUGAGAGGAUGAUCAGCCACACUGGGACUGAGACACGGCCCAGACUCCUACGGGAGGCAGCAGUGGGGAAUAUUGGACAAUGGGCGAAAGCCUGAUCCAGCAAUGCCGCGUGAGUGAUGAAGGCCUUAGGGUUGUAAAGCUCUUUUACCCGGGAUGAUAAUGACAGUACCGGGAGAAUAAGCUCCGGCUAACUCCGUG
rnacentral:rRNA from 1 species